CCAAUAGCGUAUAUUAAAGUUGUUGCAGUUAAAAAGCUCGUAGUUGAACUUCGGGGUUUACCCAUUGGUCAGGCUUAAUUGUCUGUACUGGUGAGCUAAAUCUCUACCUUCUGAGGAACUUUCAUGCCAUUUAUUUGGUGUGAUGGGAAAUCAGGACUGUUACUUUGAAAAAAUUAGAGUGUUUAAAGCAGGCUAACGUCUGAAUACAUUAGCAUGGAAUAAUGAAAUAGGACGGACUGAUUCUAUUUCGUUGGUUUCUAGGAUCACCGUAAUGAUUAAUAGGGAUAGUUGGGGGCAUUAGUAUUCAAUUGUCAGAGGUGAAAUUCUUGGAUUUAUUGAAGACUAACUACUGCGAAAGCAUUUGCCAAGGAUGUUUUCAUUAAUCAAGAACGAAAGUUAGGGGAUCGAAGACGAUCAGAUACCGUCGUAGUCUUAACCAUAAACUAUGCCGACUAGGGAUCGGAUGAUGUUAAUUUUUUAAUGACUCAUUCGGCGCCUUACG
rnacentral:rRNA from 1 species